rnacentral:rRNA from 1 species
GACGAAGGAUGCAAGCGUUAUCCGGAUUCAUUGGGUUUAAAGGGAGCGUAGGCGGCCUUGUAAGUCAGUGGUGAAAUCUCGCGGCUUAACUGCGAAACUGCCAUUGAUACUGCAGGGCUUGAGUACAGUUGCCGUUGGCGGAAUAUGACAUGUAGUGGUGAAAUACAUAGAGAUGUCAUAGAACACCGAUUGCGAAGGCAGCUAACGAAACUGUAACUGACGCUGAGGCUCGAAAGUGUGGGGAUCAAACAGG